GACGAACGCUGGCGGCGUGCUUAACACAUGCAAGUCGAACGGUGAAGCGCUUUCCUUUUUGGUUGGUGUGGAUGAGUGGCGAACGGGUGAGUAACACGUGAGUAACCUGCCCCCUUCUUCUGGAUAACCGCAUGAAAGUGUGGCUAAUACGGGAUAUUCUGCGCCUGCUGCAUGGUGGGUGUGGGAAAGAUUGUGCCUUUGGGUGUUUUCGGUGGGGGAUGGGCUCGCGGCCUAUCAGCUUGUUGGUGGGGUGAUGGCCUACCAAGGCGGUGACGGGUAGCCGGCCUGAGAGGGUGGACGGUCACACUGGGACUGAGACACGGCCCAGACUCCUACGGGAGGCAGCAGUGGGGAAUAUUGCACAAUGGGCGCUAGCCUGAUGCAGCGACGCCGCGUGAGGGAUGGAGGCCUUCGGGGUGUGAACCUCUUUCGCCAGUGAAGCAGGCCUGCUCCUUGUGGGUGGGUUGACGGUAGCUGGAUAAGAAGCGCCGGCUAACUACGUG
rnacentral:rRNA from 1 species